AUCCUUUUGGGGACGUCCAAUAAAAUUGGAACGAUACAGAAAAGAUUAGCAUGGCCCCUGUGUAAAGAUGACAUAUACAAAUCAAGAAAUGAUCCAAAUUUUU
rnacentral:snRNA from 1 species